rnacentral:rRNA from 1 species
GGCUGAGCUGUGAUGGGGAGAAGACAUUGUGUCUUCGAGUCGUUGAUUUCACACUGCCGAGAAAAGCCUCUAGAUAGAAAAUAGGUGCCCGUACCGCAAACCGACACAGGUAGUCAAGAUGAGAAUUCUAAGGUGAGCGAGCGAACUCUCGUUAAGGAACUCGGCAAAAUGACCCCGUAACUUCGGGAGAAGGGGUGCUCUUUAGGGUUAACGCCCAGAAGAGCCGCAGUGAAUAGGCCCAAGCGACUGUUUAUCAAAAACACAGGUCUCUGCUAAACCGUAAGGUGAUGUAUAGGGGCUGACGCCUGCCCGGUGCUGGAAGGUUAAGAGGAGUGGUUAGCUUCUGCGAAGCUACGAAUCGAAGCCCCAGUAAACGGCGGCCGUAACUAUAACGGUCCUAAGGUAGCGAAAUUCCUUGUCGGGUAAGUUCCGACCCGCACGAAAGGCGUAACGAUUUGGGCACUGUCUCAACGAGAGACUCGGUGAAAUCAUAGUACCUGUGAAGAUGCAGGUUACCCGCGACAGGACGGAAAGACCCCGUGGAGCUUUACUGUAGCCUGAUAUUGAAAUUCGGCACAGCUUGUACAGGAUAGGUAGGAGCCUUUGAAACGUGAGCGCUAGCUUACGUGGAGGCGCUGGUGGGAUACUACCCUAGCUGUGUUGGCUUUCUAACCCGCACCACUUAUCGUGGUGGGAGACAGUGUCAGGCGGGCAGUUUGACUGGGGCGGUCGCCUCCUAAAAGGUAACGGAGGCGCUCAAAGGUUCCCUCAGAAUGGUUGGAAAUCAUUCAUAGAGUGUAAAGGCAUAAGGGAGCUUGACUGCGAGACCUACAAGUCGAGCAGGGUCGAAAGACGGACUUAGUGAUCCGGUGGUUCCGCAUGGAAGGGCCAUCGCUCAACGGAUAAAAGCUACCCCGGGGAUAACAGGCUUAUCUCCCCCAAGAGUUCACAUCGACGGGGAGGUUUGGCACCUCGAUGUCGGCUCAUCGCAUCCUGGGGCUGUAGUCGGUCCCAAGGGUUGGGCUGUUCGCCCAUUAAAGCGGUACGCGAGCUGGGUUCAGAACGUCGUGAGACAGUUCGGUCCCUAUCCGUCGUGGGCGUAGGAAAUUUGAGAGGAGCUGUCCUUAGUACGAGAGGACCGGGAUGGACAUACCUCUGGUGUACCAGUUGUCGUGCCAACGGCAUAGCUGGGUAGCUAUGUGUGGACGGGAUAAGUGCUGAAAGCAUCUAAGCAUGAAGCCCCCCUCAAGAUGAGAUUUCCCAACUUCGGUUAUAAGAUCCCUCAAAGAUGAUGAGGUUAAUAGGUUUGAGGUGGAAGCAUGGUGACAUGUGGAGCUGACGAAUACUAAUCGAUCGAAGACUUAAUCAA